UUUACAAUGGAGAGUUUGAUCCUGGCUCAGGAUGAACGCUAGCGCUUAAUACAUGCAAGUCGAGGGGUAGCAUGAUUGUAGCAAUACAGUUGAUGACGACCGGCAAACGGGUGCGGAACACGUACACAACCUUCCUUCAAGUGGGGAAUAGCCCAGAGAAAUUUGGAUUAAUACCCCGUAACAUAACGAUGUGGCAUCACAUUGUUAUUAUAGCUACGGCGCUUGUUGAUGGGUGUGCGGCUGAUUAGGUAGUUGGCGGGGUAACGGCCCACCAAGCCUUCGAUCAGUAGCUGAUGUGAGAGCAUGAUCAGCCAC
rnacentral:rRNA from 1 species